GAUUGCAUAUCAAUAAGCGGAGGAAAAGAAACCAACAGGGAUUGCCUUAGUAGCGGCGAGUGAAGCGGCAAAAGCUCAAAUUUGAAAUCUGGCUCUUUCAGAGUCCGAGUUGUAAUUUGAAGAAGGUAUCUUUGGGUCUGGCUCCUGUCUAUGUUUCUUGGAACAGAACGUCACAGAGGGUGAGAAUCCCGUGCGAUGAGAUGAUCCAGGCCUAUGUAAAGUUCCUUCGAAGAGUCGAGUUGUUUGGGAAUGCAGCUCUAAGUGGGUGGUAAAUUCCAUCUAAAGCUAAAUAUUGGCGAGAGACCGAUAGCGAACAAGUACAGUGAUGGAAAGAUGAAAAGAACUUUGAAAAGAGAGUGAAAAAGUACGUGAAAUUGUUGAAAGGGAAGGGCUUGAGAUCAGACUUGGUAUUUUGUAUGUUACUUCUUCGGGGGUGGCCUCUACAGUUUAUCGGGCCAGCAUCAGUUUGGGCGGUAGGAGAAUUGCGUUGGAAUGUGGCACGGCUUCGGUUGUGUGUUAUAGCCUUCGUCGAUACUGCCAGCCUAGACUGAGGACUGCGGUUUAUACCUAGGAUGUUGGCAUAAUGAUCUUAAGUCGCCCGUCUUGAAACACGGACCAAUC
rnacentral:rRNA from 1 species